UGCCAAAUGAGUUCGCUGACAUGGACAUAUUCACUGGAGAGGCCAUCGAUGUUGUAAUCGGAUCCUCAAGAGAUGACGGAAAGGUGUAUGCUGGAUCCGGGCAAUGCAUAGAAAAGGCUGCUUGGGAGACAUUGUUGCGGUCUACGUCUGACUAUGUUCUGCCGUAUCGCGUCCGCAAUGUAUUGGAUGCCAGAUGAGCUUAAGAACAGAAGCGUGACCGGGACUUUGUCCAUCAAGUUGCGAUCCAAGGGAAGGACUGAGGCCAGAC
rnacentral:lncRNA from 1 species